CAGUUUAAAAGGAGCCCGCUAGGGUGGGCCCUAAUCUAACCUGAGUGGUGUCCUUUUAAGAAGAGAAAAUUUGCAUCACAAGAGACAUCAGGGAUGUGUGGGUACAGAGGAAAGACCGUGUGAGGAUUCAAGGAGAAGGCGGCCAUCAGCAAGGCGAGGAGAGAGGCCUCAGGAGAAACCAGCCCUGCUGACACUUUGAUCUUGAACUUCCAGUCUCCUGAGCUGCAGGAAGUUCACUACAAUAUGUGGGCACCUAGAUACAUCAUAGCGAAAAUGCAAGUUCCUAUAGCUCCAUAUCUAGAGUUCUUGGUGAAGUCUAACUUUAAUACUGGAAAACUUCAGGCGCUCUGGCCCUCUAGAUGCCCAGCCACCCCAGCCUUGUCAUCUGGAGUGACCAGACCCUCUCUGGGAGGUGUGUGGCUGGUGGUUACGAACUCAGCCUCAAACCAAACCAUGUGGGUUUAUUUCCUGCCUUGACCAGCUCUGAGUCCACAUCCCUGAGCCCAGACCCUGUGCUAAACUUGCCUUGACUCCGCCCCUUGCACUUCUGGGGACUCAAAUUUUGUUCCUGAGCUCUAUUUCCUUGCUGAAUCCCCUCUCUCAGAAAGCCUGCCUGAACCCCUUAUUUCUUGUUUAGAAAAUUUGUCUCCUAACCUAGGAGUUGGCAAACCAUGGCCUGUGAGCCAUAUCUGGCCCACCGCCUGUUCUUGUAAAUAAAGUUUUAUUGCGACACAGCCAUUCUCAUGCAUUUACACAUGGUCUGUGGCUGCUUUCCUGGCACAACAGCAGCUGAGUAGUUGUGACAGAGGAAAUAUGGCCCUCCAGUCUAAAACAUUCACUAUCUGGCCCUUGACUGAAAAAGUUUAGUGUUCCUUGUCUGUGUGGGUUGAAUUAUGUCCUCUGAAAAAGAUGUGUUGAAUCUCCAGUACCUCAGCAUGUGGCCUUGUUUGGAAAUAGCAUUGUUAUAGAAGUAAUCACAUUAAAAUGAGGUCAUGAGGGUGAGCCCAAAUCCGAUAUGACUACUGUCCUUAUAAAAAUGGGAAAUUUGGACACAGAGUGUAUUAGCUAUGUUUUCUUAUUUUCUGCAUUUUUGAUGCUCUGGCAUCUGGGGCUUUGGUGACUGGAGUGGGACUGCCCCUCCCAGGGCUAGCCAGUCCCUAGAGAUAGCAAAUGACUUGCACAGAACCACACCCUUCAUGCAUCCUCACCCAUCUGGAGCCCAUUCUCCAAACCACCUCCUCUGUCUGGCUCUUACGCUCCAGGAGGCAAUGGCAAUAUUCCUAAUCACCCAAGGGCAGCAUGGGACCACUAGGAGCACCCCCACAGCCCAGAGCCUGCUGACAUUAUUCAACCCAUCCAAUCCGAAACCUGCUCAGCUUGCGCACCUUGUUUUCCUCCUUCCUUCCCAUGAAAACCACAAUAAGGACUCCUGCCCACACUUUCUCCUCGCUCCUUCUGCCUCCUCACCAGCGCUGCUGCUUCCCUCUGUGGCCCUGCGUGGCAUGCUGUGCCCCCUCCUCGUGGGAACUAUGAGUAACAAACUAUCUUUUCAAAGACAAUCGUCUCCUGAUCUGUUGGGCUCACCAUACCUGAAUAAAACCAAAAUCACAGACACAUUUCAAAACACAGAGACAGAGACACUCAGAGGGAAAGUAACAUAAAGACACAGAGAAAGCGCCAUGUGAAGACGGAAGAGUGAAGUGAUGUAUCUGUAAGCCAAAGAACACUCAAGGCUACCAGAAGCUGGAAGAAAAGCGUGGAACAGUUCCUUCCCUAGCACCUUCAGAGGGAGCACGGCCCUGCCAACACCUUGAUUUUGGACUUCUGGCCUCUGGAAUGUGAGACAAUAAAUUUCUGUUGUUUGAAGCCACUAAGUUUGUAGUAUUUUGUUAUGGCAGCCUAGGAGGCCAAUACACCACCUAACCAAUUAUUUUGUUUUGUUUUCUUUAUUUCUCGUUGUUCUCCUAUUGACACUUUUGUAUGGUGUCUUACUGUCAUUUCAUGGUGACCCUCACACACAUUAUUGCAUUUGGGUCUUGUGAGGUAGGUAGGCCAAUGGGCAGCCCGUUUAACCCAAGACCGAGGCUCAGAGAUUUCGGGGCACUUGCACAAGUUCACCCCACAAGGCAGUAAAUGGGGAAAAAAACUAGUUUCUACUGAGGGCUCGUUAUGUGCUUUCCUCACAUUGUCUCAGGACACCUAUACAACCGACCUGAGGGUUAGUUGCUGAGCAAUUAUACUAAUAAUCAGACAACCAUCAAUGUGAAAAGGAUGCUUUCUUCUCUCCUCACUUCCCCCUGUCUCUACUUGGCAUCUCAAGGCAGAGUGUGAAGGAGGUCAGACAUCCACAGCACUGUACCGUCCCGAGUGGAACCAGCCUUCACUGACUGGACCACCUAGGGAAGUGGUUUCCUCAGAGGGCAAUACCGAACCUUCCAGUGUGUAGUAAAACAGGACAAGAGAACUCCAGAGACCCCUUCUGCUGCCCCCAUGGGCUGUGUGGGGGUCCGAGGAGGGGAGAGUGGGGAGAGGUCUGAGGCUAUUCCAGCGUGUAACGCUGGCGUGAAAGCUGGAGCUGGUUCUGGUCAAGGCUUGGUCUGGACGCCGUGCAUGCCCCCGACCUCUGACGCCAGGUGCCCCUUGAAUCUCCUGAGGUCCCUGCAGCUGUGUUCUCUGUUUCUUCCUUGUCCAGUUGUUACAGCUUCUUCCACA
rnacentral:lncRNA from 1 species